CUACAGUUCUAAUACAGUUCUAAUUAACAAGACACCUUCUUGCUCAAUCCCUCUAUUUUCUAUUUUUCCUGUCAUUGUCUCUACAACACCCUUUCCCAACCCAAUUUCUACCUCUUACUUCCAUAUUUCUCUAUCUCUGCUAUGCAUUUUUUGUCGCUAUUGCUACUAUGGUUGCCGCCGCUGGUGUUACUCAUCACUUAAAAUAUCAACGUUGAGUUCAUUUUGUUUUUUUUUCUUUUUCUUUUUACUUCAUUCCAUAAGUAUUUGUCUGUCUUACAUCAUUUCUCACAUUUUCGAAGAAAGCUCCAUCAAAUGACUACCGUCGAUAUACCCUCAGAUCUGAUCAAGGAAUUCCAGACAUUCAAGUCGUCUCGUCAAUGGAACCGCUGUUUUGUCAUGAAAGUCAACAAAAAAAAACUCAUUCUAGAGAUAGAGAAAAUUUUAGACAACGUGUCGUGGGAAGAAGUAGUCGAAGAACUCCCCGAUGCCUCUCCGUCUUUUGUCGCCUAUCUAGCUGAAUAUGUCUGGGAAGACGGCCGAAAAUCCUACCCCCUUUUCUUACUUUAUUGGUGCCCGGAGGCCGUCCCUACAGCAGAGGGCACUCUGUACGCCUCAACCAAGACUAUUCUGUGCAACAAACUCAAAAUCAACAAAGUCUUCGACAGUCAAAACAAAGAGGAAAUGACACAAGAAUGGCUCAACAAAAAACUCCAAUUAUUUAAGUGAGAGACUUCUCAUAUUACCCUUAACCACACGAAAGCACGUAUUAAUAAAUAUUGUGUACGCAAAGCAUUUAUCUAUGACCUCUCUUCGAAGUCUCGUAUUGAGAUCGUAUUUCAACCUGCUUAAGGCACAAAAGAACCUGUUCAAAGGGGAUACCGAAAUGCUUGUUUCAUCGAAGGAUAAAACGCGCGAGAUGUUCCUCCAAAACAAGAACGAAACAAACCCUGAAAAGAUUAAAAAAAUGAUAGCCGACGCCAACUCGGCCAAGGACUAUAUCGAACAAUGCCUUGUUCAAGGUGUCAGAGACGAGUCAAAUAACAGUUAUAAGUUGAGAAUUACUGAAAAAACUCACCGAAUUCGCGACCAAUCGGCCAAGAUCUACUGGUAACAAUUUUAUAUUAAUGAAGGGAGACUUAUUUGGAGCCAGUUUGGCCGAAGAGUUUCAACACAUCUAAUCUCUGCUUGUGGAUAGUGUUUAACAGUAUUGUUCCUUUUAAUCUUUGACAUGUGCCGAAAACCCUGUGUGAAUUUACCUCGCUUUAGAAAUUUACAUAUAAUGUACAUAUCGUUUU